GAGUAAUGCCUAGGAAUCUGCCUGGUAGUGGGGGAUAACGUCCGGAAACGGGCGCUAAUACCGCAUACGUCCUGAGGGAGAAAGUGGGGGAUCUUCGGACCUCACGCUAUCAGAUGAGCCUAGGUCGGAUUAGCUAGUUGGUGGGGUAAAGGCCUACCAAGGCGACGAUCCGUAACUGGUCUGAGAGGAUGAUCAGUCACACUGGAACUGAGACACGGUCCAGACUCCUACGGGAGGCAGCAGUGGGGAAUAUUGGACAAUGGGCGAAAGCCUGAUCCAGCCAUGCCGCGUGUGUGAAGAAGGUCUUCGGAUUGUAAAGCACUUUAAGUUGGGAGGAAGGGCAGUAAGUUAAUACCUUGCUGUUUUGACGUUACCAACAGAAUAAGCACCGGCUAACUUCGUGCCAGCAGCCGCGGUAAUACGAAGGGUGCAAGCGUUAAUCGGAAUUACUGGGCGUAAAGCGCGCGUAGGUGGUUCAGCAAGUUGGAUGUGAAAUCCCCGGGCUCAACCUGGGAACUGCAUCCAAAACUACUGAGCUAGAGUACGGUAGAGGGUGGUGGAAUUUCCUGUGUAGCGGUGAAAUGCGUANAUAUAGGAAGGAACACCAGUGGCUAAGGCGACCACCUGGACUGAUACUGACACUGAGGU
rnacentral:rRNA from 1 species